AAAACUUUCAACAACGGAUCUCUUGGUUCCGGCAUCGAUGAAGAACGCAGCGAAAUGCGAUAAAUAAUGCGAAUUGCAGAAUUCAGUGAGUCAUCGAGUUUUUGAACGCACAUUGCGCCCCCUGGAAUUCCAGGGGGCAUACCUGUUCGAGCGUCAUUG
rnacentral:rRNA from 1 species